rnacentral:rRNA from 1 species
AGAGUUUGAUCCUGGCUCAGGAUAAACGCUGGCGGCGUGCCUAACACAUGCAAGUCGAACGCACUUCUUUCGGGAAGUGAGUGGCGCACGGGUGAGUAACACGUGGGUACCUACCCUACAGGUGAGGAAUACCGCCGAGAAAUCGGCGACAAGACCGCAUAGGCUCGGCUCUCUCGCGAGAGGGAGGCGAGCAAAGCUUUGUCUCGCAAGAGGCGGGGUGCCUGAGGAUGGGCCUGCGGCUGAUUAGCUGGUUGGUGGGGUAAAAGCCUACCAAGGCGACGAUCAGUAGCUGGUCUGAGAGGAUGAUCAGCCACACUGGGAUUGAGAACGGCCCAGACUCCUACGGGGGGCAGCAGUGAGGAAUUUUCCGCAAUGGACGAAAGUCUGACGGAGCAACGCCGCGUGCAGGACGAAGGUUUUCGGAUCGUAAACUGCUUUUCUCGGGGAAGAGGAACUAAGGACGGUACCCGAGGAGGAAGCCCCGGCUAACUACGUGCCAGCAGCCGCGGUAAUACGUAGGGGGCGAGCGUUGUCCGGAGUUACUGGGCGUAAAGCGCACGCAGGCGGUUGGCCACGUUCCCGCUGACAAUGGUCGGCUUACCUGAUCGGGGUGCGGGAAAACGAGCCGACUGGAGGGCCAGAGAGGGAGACGGAAUUCCGGGUGGAGUGGUGAAAUGCGUAGAUAUCCGGAGGAACACCAAUGGCGAAGGCAGUCUCCUGGCUGGUUCCUGACGCUCAGGUGCGAAAGCGAGGGGAGCGAACGGGAUUAGAUACCCCGGUAGUCC